UACGUAGGUCGCAAGCGUUUGUCCGGAUUUACUGGGCGUAAAGAGCGCGCAGGCGGCUGGUCAAGUCCGAUGUGAAAUCUCCCGGCUCAACUGGGAAACUGCAUCGGAAACUGAUCGGCUUGAAGAUGGGAGAGGGUAGUGGAAUUCCCGGUGUAGUGGUGAAAUGCGUAGAUAUCGGGAGGAACACCAGUGGCGAAGGCGACUACCUGGCCCAUUCUUGACGCUGAGGCGCGAAAGCUAGGGGAGCGAACGGGGAU
rnacentral:rRNA from 1 species